rnacentral:rRNA from 1 species
UACAGAGGUCUCAAGCGUUGUUCGGAUUUAUUGGGCGUAAAGGGCGCGUAGGCGGCGGGGUAAGUCGGGUGUGAAAUCUCAGGGCUCAACCCUGAAACUGCACUUGAUACUGCUCUGCUUGAGGACUGGAGAGGAGACUGGAAUUUACGGUGUAGCGGUGAAAUGCGUAGAUAUCGUAAGGAAGACCAGUGGCGAAGGCGGGUCUCUGGACAGUUCCUGACGCUGAAGCACGAAGGCCAGGGGAGCAAACGGG